AGACUCUGGUGUUGCGUUUAUCACGAAUAAACGCAGUACCGUAGGACAACUGUUAAGUCUGCCGCCUGGGGAGUACGGCCGCAAGGUUGAAACUUAAAGCAAUUGGCGGGGGAGCACACAAGGGGUGGAUGCUACGGUUCAAUUGAAUUCAACGUCGGGAACUUUACCUGGAGCGACGGCAGUGUGAAGGUCAAGCUAAUGACUUUGCCUGACAAGCCGAGAGGUGGUGCAUGGCGAUCGUCAGUUCGUGGUGUGAACUCUCCGGUUAAGUCCGGUAACGAACGAGAUCCUCGUUGACAGUUGCUACCGUUCCAGAGAUGGGACGGGCACUCUGUCGAGACCGCCUGCGUUUAAGCAGGAGGAAGGAGAGGGCGACGGUACGUCAGUAUGCCCCGAACCUCCAGGGCUACACGCGGCAUACAGAGGUUGGUACAAUGGGUCGCUACCCAGAGAUGGGACGCUAAUCCCCUAAAACCAAUCCAGGUUCGAAUUGAGGGUUGAAACUCACCCUCAUGAAGUUGGAAUCCCUAGUAAUCGCGUGUCAUCAACUCGCGGUGAAUGUGUCCCCGCUCCUUGCACUCACCGCCCG
rnacentral:rRNA from 1 species